AAUAGAUACCCGGGUAGUCCAUGCCGUAAACGUUGGGCACUAGGUGUGGGCUCAUUCCACGAGUUCCGUGCCGCAGCAAACGCAUUAAGUGCCCCGCCUGGGGAGUACGGCCGCAAGGCUAAAACUCAAAGGAAUUAACGGGGGCCCGCACAAGCGGCGGAGCAUGCGGAUUAAUUCGAUGCAACGCGAAGAACCUUACCAAGGCUUGACAUGCACGGGAAGCCACCAGAGAUGGUGGUCUCUUUGGACACUCGUGCGCAGGUGGUGCAUGGUUGUCGUCAGCUCGUGUCGUGAGAUGUUGGGUUAAGUCCCGCAACGAGCGCAACCCUCGUCCCAUGUUGCCAGCGGGUUAUGCCGGGGACUCAUGGGAGACUGCCGGGGUCAACUCGGAGGAAGGUGGGGAUGACGUCAAAUCAUCAUGCCCCUUAUGUCUUGGGCUUCACGCAUGCUACAAUGGCCGGUACAAAGGGCUGCGAUGCCGUAAGGUGGAGCGAAUCCCAAAAGCCGGUCUCAGUUCGGAUUGGGGUCUG
rnacentral:rRNA from 1 species